rnacentral:rRNA from 1 species
GCUUGUCUCAAAGAUUAAGCCAUGCAUGUCUAAGUGUAAAUACGUCUACACUGUGAAACUGCGAAUGGCUCAUUAAAUCAGUUAUCGUUUAUUUGAUGAUCUCUUGUUACAUGGAUAACCGUAGUAAUUCUAGAGCUAAUACAUGCGUCAAGCCCCGACUUCGGAAGGGGUGUAUUUAUUAGAUUAAAAACCAAUGCCCUUCGGGGCUCACUGGUGAUUCAUGAUAACUUCACGGAUCGCACGGCCUUGCGCCGGCGAUGGUUCAUUCAAAUUUCUUCCCUAUCAACUUUCGAUGUUUGGGUCUUGGCCAAACAUGGUUGCAACGGGUAACGGAGGGUUAGGGCUCGACCCCGGAGAAGGAGCCUGAGAAACGGCUACUACAUCCAAGGAAGGCAGCAGG